rnacentral:rRNA from 1 species
AUUGAACGCUGGCGGCAGGCUUAACACAUGCAAGUCGAGCGGAGAUGAGGUGCUUGCACCUUAUCUUAGCGGCGGACGGGUGAGUAAUGCUUAGGAAUCUGCCUAUUAGUGGGGGACAACAUUCCGAAAGGAAUGCUAAUACCGCAUACGUCCUACGGGAGAAAGCAGGGGAUCCUCGGCCCUUGCGCUAAUAGAUGAGACUAAGUCGGAUUAGCUAGUUGGUGGGGUAAAGGCCUACCAAGGCGACGAUCUGUAGCGGGUCUGAGAGGAUGAUCCGCAACACUGGGACUGAGACACGGCCCAUACUCAUACGGGAGGCAGCAGUUGGGAAUAUUGGACAAUGGGGGGAACCCUGAUCCAGCCAUGCCGCGUGUGUGAAGAGGGCCUUAUGGUUGUAAAGCACUUUAAGCGAGGAGGAGGCUACUGAGACUAAUACUCUUGGAUAGUGGACGUUACUCGCAGAAUAAGCACCGGCUAACUCUGUGCCAGCAGCCGCGGUAAUAC